CGCCGCGUGAGGGAUGACGGCCUUCGGGUUGUAAACCUCUUUCACCAGGGAAGAAGCGAAAGUGACGGUACCUGCAGAAGAAGCACCGGCUAACUACGUGCCAGCAGCCGCGGUAAUACGUAGGGUGCGAGCGUUGUCCGGAAUUAUUGGGCGUAAAGAGCUUGUAGGCGGUUUGUCGCGUCUGCCGUGAAAAUCCGAGGCUCAACCUCGGACUUGCGGUGGGUACGGGCAGACUANAGUGUGGUAGGGGAGACUGGAAUUCCUGGUGUAGCGGUGAAAUGCGCAGAUAUCAGGAGGAACACCGAUGGCGAAGGCAGGUCUCUGGGCCACUACUGACGCUGAGAAGCGAAAGCGUGGGGAGCGAACAGGAUUAGAUACCCUGGUAGUCCACGCCGUAAACGUUGGGAACUAGGUGUGGGUCUCAUUCCACGAGAUCCGUGCCGCAGCUAACGCAUUAAGUUCCCCGCCUGGGGAGUACGGCCGCAAGGCUAAAACUCAAAGGAAUUGACGGGGGCCCGCACAAGCGGCGGAGCAUGUGGAUUAAUUCGAUGCAACGCGAAGAACCUUACCAAGGCUUGACAUAUACGAGAACGCGUCAGAGAUGACGAACUCUUUGGACACUCGUAUACAGGUGGUGCAUGGUUGUCGUCAGCUCGUGUCGUGAGAUGUUGGGUUAAAGUCCCGCAACGAGCGCAACCCUCGUUCUAUGUUGCCAGCGCGUAAAGGCGGGGACUCAUAGGAGACUGCCGGGGUCA
rnacentral:rRNA from 1 species